rnacentral:lncRNA from 1 species
UAGGAAAACUGAAAAAUAGUAAAGAUAAGGUAGUUGGGAUUAAUUGGACAAACAAACCAGUCAAAGCAUUGGGAAUAUAUUUUGGUCAUAACAGAGAAGAAUGUGAAAAAUUAAACUUGGGAGAAUAAAAUUGAGAAAAUGAAUAUAUAAACAAGAAGAUGUGAUAUAAUUGCCAAUGAGACAACUAUCCGCAAAAGACAAAAAUGACACAGACAUUAAAAACUAUAGGUCACCGUACGGCCUUCAACAAUGAGCAUAGCCCAUACCGC